rnacentral:rRNA from 1 species
UAGGGAAUCUUCCACAAUGGGCGAAAGCCUGAUGGAGCAACGCCGCGUGAGUGAAGAAGGGUUUCGGCUCGUAAAACUCUGUUGUUAAAGAAGAACAUAUCUGAGAGUAACUGUUCAGGUAUUGACGGUAUUUAACCAGAAAGCCACGGCUAACUACGUGCUAG